rnacentral:rRNA from 1 species
UGGCGGACGGGUGAGUAAUAUAUAGUUAACCUGCCCUCGAGAAAGGAAUAACAGUUGGAAACGACUGCUAAUGCCCUAUAUGCCUUUAAGACAUAAGUCUGCAAGGGAAAUGCUUUGUGCUCGAGGAUGUGACUGUACGGUAUCAGAUAGUUGGUGGGGUAAUGGCCUACCAAGUCAAUGACGCCUAACUGGUUUGAGAGGAUGAUCAGUCACACUGGAAAUGAGACACGGUCCAGACUCCUACGGGAGGCAGCAGUGGGGAAUAUUGCACAAUGGAGGAAACUCUGAUGCAGCAACGCCGCGUGGAGGAUGACACAUUUCGGUGCGUAAACUCCUUUUAUAUAGGAAGAUAAUGACGGUACUAUAUGAAUAAGCGCCGGCUAACUCCGUGCCAGCAGCCGCGGUAAUACGGAGGGCGCAAGCGUUACUCGGAAUCACUGGGCGUAAAGAGCGUGUAGGCGGAUAGAUAAGUCAGAAGUGAAAUCCUAUGGCUCAACCAUAGAACUGCUUUUGAAACUGUUUAUCUAGAGUGUGGGAGAGGUAGAUGGAAUUUCUGGUGUAGGGGUAAAAUCCGUAGAGAUCAGAAGGAAUACCGAUUGCGAAGGCGAUCUACUGGAACAUAACUGACGCUGAGACGCGAAAGCGUGGGGAGCAAACAGGAUUAGAUACCCUGGUAGUCC